CGCCUGUUUAUCAAAAACAUCGCCUCCUGCUUAUAAUAACAUAGGAGGUCCCGCCUGCCCUGUGACCAAAAGUUUAACGGCCGCGGUAUUUUAACCGUGCAAAGGUAGCGCAAUCAAUUGUCUUUUAAAUGGAGACCUGUAUGAAUGGCAUAACGAGGGUUUUACUGUCUCUUUUUUCUGGUCAAUGAAACUGAUCUGCCCGUGCAGAAGCGGGCAUAAUAACACAAGACGAGAAGACCCUAUGGAGCUUUAGACGCCCACCAACCGCGAAGAGCACCCCGACGAGGGACCACCAAAUAACGCGACCGUGGUACAAACGUCUUCGGUUGGGGCGACCACGGGGGAAUACAAAGCCCCCGAGAGGAUUGGGGAUCCAACCCUAAAACCAAGAGCCACAGCUCUAAGUCACAAAACAUUUGACCCAGAAUGAUCCGGCUCAUUGCCGAUCAACGGACCAAGUUACCCUAGGGAUAACAGCGCAAUCCUCUCCCAGAGUCCAUAUCGACGAGAGGGUUUACGACCUCGAUGUUGGAUCAGGACAUCCUAAUGGUGCAGCCGCUAUUAAGGGUUCGUUUGUUCAACGAUUAAAGUCCUACGUGAUCUGAGUUCAGACCGG
rnacentral:rRNA from 1 species